rfam:Schistosoma rodhaini strain Burundi genome assembly, scaffold: SROB_scaffold0002452
AUCCAGCUGACGCGUCCCAAAUAGGACGAAACGCGUGUCCUGGAU